GACGAACGCUGGCGGCGUGCUUAACACAUGCAAGUCGAACGGAAAGGCCCUGCUUUUGUGGGGUGCUCGAGUGGCGAACGGGUGAGUAACACGUGAGUAACCUGCCCUUGACUUUGGGAUAACUUCAGGAAACUGGGCCUAAUACCGGACAGGAUCUCCUGCUGCAUGGUGGGGGUUGGAAAGUUUCGGCGGUUGGGGAUGGACUCGCGGCUUAUCAGCUUGUUGGUGGGGUAGUGGCUUACCAAGGCUUUGACGGGUAGCCGGCCUGAGAGGGUGACCAGCCACAUUGGGACUGAGAUACGGCGCAGGCUCCUACUGGAGGCAGCAGUGGGGAAUAUUGCACAAUGGGCGGAAGCCUGAUGCAGCAGCGCCGCGGGCGGGAUGACGGCCUUCGGGUUGUAAACCGCUUUCGCCUGAGACGAAGCGUGAGUGACGGUAAUGGGUAAAGAAGCACCGGCUAACUACGUG
rnacentral:rRNA from 1 species